rnacentral:rRNA from 1 species
CACGUAGGCACCAAGCGUUGUCCGGAAUCAUUGGGCGUAAAGAGCUCGUAGGCGGUUCAGUCAGUCGGGUGUGAAAUCCUUGGGCUUAACCCAAGAACUGCACCCGAUACUGCUGUGACUCGAGUCCGGUAGAGGAGUGUGGAAUUCCUGGUGUAGCGGUGGAAUGCGCAGAUAUCAGGAGGAACACCAACGGCGAAGGCAGCACUCUGGGCCGGUACUGACGCUGAGGAGCGAAAGCGUGGGGAGCGAACAGG